AAAGUCGUAACAAGGUUUCCGUAGGUGAACCUGCGGAAGGAUCAUUCAAGAUGUCUUAUAUUUUACAUAUGGGCUCUAAAAUCCAUAUUCACCUUGUGUGCACCGUAUGAUGUUAUCUUUGGUGAGUUUUUGGCCCGUUCAAAAAGGCUGAACCCCUUUGGCUAUUGCAAGAUAGUCGUUGGGGCGGCUCACCAGAGUUUUUCUUCAAAUACCCUAUUGAAAUUCCUGUCUUAAUCUUUAUUGAAUCUUUAACAAAAUUCAAAUACAACUUUCAACAACGGAUCUCUUGGUUCUC
rnacentral:misc_RNA from 1 species